rnacentral:rRNA from 1 species
CCUCUCCUACGGGGGGCAGCAGUGGGGGAUAUUGCACAAUGGGGGGAACCCUGAUGCAGCGACGCCGCGUGAGCGAUGAAGUACUUCGGUAUGUAAACCUCUAUCAGCAGGGAAGAAAAUGACGGUACCUGACUAAGAAGCCCCGGCUAACUACGUGCCAGCAGCCGCGGUAAUACGUAGGGGGCAAGCGUUAUCCGGAUUUACUGGGUGUAAAGGGAGCGUAGACGGCAGUGCAAGUCUGAAGUGAAAGGCAAGGGCUCAACCCUUGGACUGCUUUGGAAACUGCGCUGCUGGAGUGUCGGAGA